CACACCCAUUAAAAAUUUGUGUCAAAUAAAAAUUUUUGUAAAUAUCUUUGCGAAAUAAAUAAUGUUGUGUGAAAUAAACCUUUAUUUUUGUAGAAGUAAAAAAUAGAAGACAUAGGAUCAUAGACAUAGGAUAUUGUUAGAUAAUUAAAAAUAAAUUAAUAAUUUAAAAUAAUAAAGCACCUCUACAAUACCUAAGAACAUCGCAGUUGAUUGAAAAUGCGUAUUUAAACCAAAGUUCCUUCAAGCACUGACAAAGGAAGUAAUUUUCAUAGAAGAAGGCAACAGUAACUUUUAAGGAGGAAUGAAGAAUGAAGUUACGAAGGAAGUCUGUUGUACUUUAAUAAAACUUUGUCGAGAUCAGUCAAUCAUUGGUUCUUUAGGUAAGUAAAGGAAUGUAAAACCACAGUAGAAGUAAUUUCUUUUGGGUGAAAGCACAGGAUAGGUACAAAGUUGGAGUCAUUUUCUAUGGACUCAAGGAAGAAGAUAAAUGUUAUAUAAUAUCUUCACAAAAUUCACUGAAGUCACCCCCAAAGUAUUUGUGUUUGUGAAUCUUUUGUGAAUCGAAUGAUGGAUCAUCAUACAGAGGACUCCACAAUUAUUAUUGAAGGAGGUCUAAUAAAUUUGUUCAUGGAAUUCAAAACAGACAAAGGACAAUGAUUGGCUAAGGAUAUUAAUUCGAACAGCAGAAGAUAUAGUUCAAGCAGCCAUAGUUGAACAACUAAAGAUAUUGCCCAAAAUAUGAAUUUGAAUUGAAAAAUAUGCUGAAUGAAGAAAAAAUUUGGUGUUAUCGUCCAUCAUUUCAAGGCUAAUUUUUGUGCUACUUACGAUAUAUCCAUAACAAGAAGUGUUUUACACUUUUAAAAUAGAGUUCAUUCAAGCACUGACAACGGAUUUUAGGCUAUUAUUAAAAGUAAUUUUCAUAGAAGAAGGCAACAGUAACUUUUGAGGAGGAAUGAAGUUACGUAGGAAGUCUGUUGUACUUUAAUAAAACUUUGUCGGCUCUAAGGAUAGGUACAAAAUUGAAGUUAUUUUCUAUGGACACAAGGAAGAAGAUAAAUGUUACAUAAUAUCUUUACAAAAUUCACUGAAAUCACCUCCAAAGUAUUUGUGUUUGUGAAUUGAAUGAUGGGCCAUCAUACAGAUAAAGGAUAUGUACAAAAUUGGAGUUAUUUUCUAUGGACACAAGGAAGAAGAUAAAUGUUACAUAAUAUCUUUACAAAAUUCACUGAAAUCACCUCCAAAGUAUUUGUGUUUGUGAAUUGAAUGAUGGACCAUCAUACAGAUAAAGGAUAGGUACAAAAUUGGAGUUAUUUUCUAUGGACACAAGGAAGAAGAUAAAUGUUACAUAAUAUCUUUACAAAAUUCACUGAAAUCACCUCCAAAGUAUUUGUGUUUGUGAAUUGAAUGAUGGGCCAUCAUACCACCGUACAUAAAACUCAAUCAUACAGAUAAAGGACUUUGUUCAUGGAAUACAAAACACACAAAGGACAAUGAUUGGCUAAGGGUAUUUAUUCGAACAGCAGAAGAUAUAGUUCAAACAGCCAUACUUGAACAACUAAAGGUUUGGGUCUAUGAAACAUAUCACCCAGUAAGCUGAUUAACUAGACUCCUUCCUACAUUCCAACGAUACUGCAAGAUAUCCAUAACUACCAGAGCUUCAACACCAGCUGGAUUUUAUUUACUUUAAUUUAAUUUCUUAUAAAAUAUUUAGUAUUUUUAGGUGACCAUUAUAUUAAACACAAUUACAUUUAAAUAAAUAAAACUCACAGACCUU